rnacentral:lncRNA from 1 species
CCUCCUUCUUCGCGACCGGAGAAGAUCGGCCUUCAAUCAACAGAUAAAACCCUAGGUCCAACACCGGAAAUCGUAGGUUCUGAAACUCACCAGAAUAAGGUCAUGGACGUCGGAAAGUUACCCAAAACGUCUAUCAAGCGAAGACAAAGUCAUCGGAUAACAUCAAAACUUUAGGUCCAAAAAUCGGAAAACCCUAGAAUUUGAAGAACUCGUCGGAUUAAAGCCAGGGAUGCCGGAAAAUCACCCAAAACACCCACUAAUAUAGGAUCGGAACCUCGAAUAACAAGGAAAUUCCGAUUAUCCGCUCAACAUUCGUUGAAACAUCUACGAACAGUAUCUCUCACCGGAAACCAUAAAAAAAACUUCAGCAAAAGCUUCAAACGGGAUUGAUAACACAUAACCGAGAAGGAUCCGAAGAUCAUCUGGCUCUGAUACCAUGAAAACAUGUAGGUUUGAAGGCAAAAAUGACGAAGAACACAAUGAGAGACUUCAGCAAAAGCUUCAAACGGGAUCGAUAACACGUAACCGAGAAGGAUCCGAAGAUCAUCCGGCUCUGAUACCAUGAAAACAUAUAGAUUUGAAGGCAAAAAUGACGAAGAACACAGUGAGAGAAAGAGAGUAGGUGAGGAACUCUCUGAAAGAACCGAGAGGAAAA